UGGGGAAUAUUGGACAAUGGGCGCAAGCCUGAUCCAGCCAUGCCGCGUGAGUGACGAAGGUCUUCGGAUUGUAAAGCUCUUUUUGGCGGGGACGAUAAUGACGGUACCCGCAGAAUAAGCCCCGGCUAACUUCGUGCCAGCAGCCGCGGUAAUACGAAGGGGGCUAGCGUUGUUCGGAAUCACUGGGCGUAAAGCGCACGUAGGCGGACUUAUAAGUCAGGGGUGAAAUCCCGGGGCUCAACCUCGGAACUGCCUCUGAUACUGUGAGUCUCGAGACCGGAAGAGGUGAGUGGAAUUCCUAGUGUAGAGGUGAAAUUCGUAGAUAUUAGGAAGAACACCAGUGGCGAAGGCGGCUCACUGGUCCGGUUCUGACGCUGAGGUGCGAAAGCGUGGGGAGCAAACAGGAUUAGAUACCCUUGUAGUCCCUGAGCGGGCUGGCAAGGCG
rnacentral:rRNA from 1 species